UGUCCCUGAGCACCUAGACAGCCUCACCAGGUUGGUGUUGCCCCCAACCUGGUGACAGAGGGUGGUGGAGGUGGCUGCCGGUCUGGGUGACUUUGCACAUUCUGCUGGCCUAUAUGGGAAGAUUUUUUUUUUACUCCUACUAAUUGAUCCAAAACAAUGGGAUUAUCAGUUGGAAGCAAAUGAAGAAGAGAAAAAGUGGGAGUAUUAUUUACUGGUGUGAUGACUGAGCCUUCGAUAUGAGACAUCAGCAUAAAAGGCAAUUAUGUUCCUAGGUGUCAGGCAGGAUAUUCCCUGCCAAGUCAGGGAAGAAUCAGUAUCAAUGUAAAAGGCUCUACUGUAAUUUCCUCUGGGUAAAAUUCUGCAUAUAACUCCACUUAUCCCAACUGAAGCAAAAAGGAGUUGGAAGAGCACCUGGUUGGUCAGAGAAGGGAGAACAUGUUUUACAAAAGGAGACUAAGACAACGUGGCUUGUCUAACCUGGGAAAAUGUGGGCUGAGGGAAUAUAAAAGACUGCCUUCCAUUAAAACAUAGUGGGGUAAAGCA